AGGUGAAGCGACGUCAGCGAAAGGGUUUCCUUUGUUUGACACGUGUCAGUAUAUGAAAAACUCACCAAAGCGUAUUUUCGUUUACCUUUUUCUCUUGUCUUUUUAUGUCUGAUUUAUAUUACGGGCUGUUAUGUGUUAAGUUUGUGGGCUUUCUAUUUUAAUCUGACCGGCCAAGUUGUGAUUAGGUUUUUUUUUUCACUUACGCAAAGAUGGAGAUUAAUGUCAAAACGCCGUAGUUCUUCACAUCUUACCGGUUCUGGCGCAAAGAUGGAGAUCGAAGGUUCGUAACGCCUUCAUUUAUCGUCACUUAAUCGAAGCAUUUACGUCUUCUUCACCACUCUGCCCACUCUUUUGAAUGAAAUCGGCCAUUGCAUCCUCCAUGGUAACGGCCUUAAGCUGCAUCUAUAAAUGGCUUCGUUCUUGGGAUGAAGAUUCAUAUCAAAACAAAAUCCCAAAGUUUUUCUCUGUGAAGCAUCAAAUCAAGCAAUGGCUCAUUCGUCUUUUCGAGAUCCAUCAGAAGCAUGAGGUUACUCUCCUGGCCGAUUUGAAAGCUUGAUGCUGUUCAAACACCUCGAAGUCCGUGUCCUUUGAUUCUGGAAAGCAAAAAGUGUUAAGAAAGUCAACCCUCAUCCAAGGAACUGUCCGAUGCCAGUGGGCAGUGUUGUCACUUAUCGACAGUACCGACGCUUUUUCAAAGAGGGUUCUGUCUACUAGCUUAGUGGUUUCGACAUAGCACGGAGCCUCUAUCUCUAUUCAAUUAUGUGAUGGAAAGUCCUUUGUUGAAAUGACGAAUUCGGUAAGGCAAUCCCUACAAAGCUUUUAUGAUUCCGCAACCACGAGCAGUUAUUGGCGUUAGCAAAUAUAAACAAACAGCUACCAGACAUCCUUGGCGAGGUCAGUGCAAUCAGGAGCACAAUCAAUGACAGAAUACACGAAACACAGUGUGUAAUGCUUACUCUACGUCUAUAAAGGAAUAUGAAUGUGUGAGUCAGUCUCUUCGAUGGCUUAGCUUUUGCACUUCACGAUAAAUUUGAAAGCUGCGGGUCUGAGCCAAAAUUAGUGAUAGUCACUAGCAUCAAUCCCAAGAUUGUUUGAGGCUGGCUAUUUUUCAACGGCACAUCUGGAACCCACAUCUGACUCUCAGACAGAUGUCUAAAAAAUCUACAUGAAAAAUUAGUAUUUUGUUAUGCUUUUAUUAGAUGGUCCACCUCGAGUGCGUAAAAUAUCUUGUAAAUAUAUCAUCUUACGGUACUGUGAUGUCAUCUUUAAACUCUUUAGGUUGAGUGGGGAUGCCUCAACACAGAAUGGUUCCUCAUCCAAGCUGUUUCAUGCUCAAAAAAUAGAACCACUCAUCUUUGAAGUUACACCUUUUCACUUGGAACACUACUGGUGCCGAGUUACCUUCCACUACAAGAAAACGUAGCAGUAACAACGAAGAUUUACGACGAAAAUAUUUCUUUGUAAAUUUGCAAGGUGUUUACAACGCAAUUACGACGAGACCAAAAUUCGUCGUAAACUCCAUGGAACUUUACGACGAAAGUGUUUCGUCGUAAAGUCCAUGUAAGUUUACGACGAAAGUACGUGGAAAGCGAAAAUAGUCGUAAACGUUACAUCGACAUUACAACGAAUCAUGUUACCGUUAUAUUUAGGUGAAAA